UCACCUGGCUGGGACACUACAUGGAGCUAGAGGUGGUGUUGAGGGAGGACCAGAGGCCUGAGGAGGGGGAGGCGAUUGCUCGCAGCCUGAUGAAGGAGCUCGGUGUCGGGGAUGACAGCCUGGUGACUGGGGCCUACGUGGACCUCUUGCUGGAAGACCAGGGAUAGCAACACACAGUAUAUGAACCCUCCAAUGCAGGACUAAAACAUUCCCAUCAUGUGAAAGCAACUGGAAAACGCUUUUGGUAAUAAAAAAUUAAAUAGCAAA